rnacentral:lncRNA from 1 species
UUUAAAUUCUGCAGCAGUAAUAACAAACUGAAAAAGUCAUAUUCCUUGAGUAAUGCAUAGUGUGUCACAAGUGUUCUUAUGAGCAAUAGCACUUCUGUUGAUCUUGCUACAACUUUAACCAGUUUAUAUUAAUUUUCAACUGUUAGCUACCUGGGAGCAGAGAACUCUUGCAAGUAAACCUGUAGAGUAAGGACUCAGAGUGGAAUCACAGUCUGUUCACUGAAUGAAAAGGAAUGAGGUGUCACUGUGCACACAGGGCAUAGUGUGCAGGAGAAGAAGUGAGUGACAGAAACAUGACUUGGACACCAGGAUCCUGUCUGGAUGAAGUGAAGUUCAGCUGACUUCCUGAACUGAAACCUUGAAAACUGCACUACUGAUACCUGUACAGCUGACUGCUCUGCCAAGAGAGAAGAGAUGAGCAAAUGGUGCCUUUUGCAUGGUUUCUUGCUUGCACCAGCUCAAACAGGGCACCCAGCAUCUGAUCUGACUGCAGGUGAACAAGACUAUUUUUCAACUGCUUGCAGUAUGCUGCUGAUGUGCAUAUAUAGAGAAUGAGAGAGCUGUAGGUGAGAUCCUAGUGGAAGAGGCAAACAGGCAGGAGAGGUCAAGAAAAGCUGUAGAAGCUCCAGCAACAUCAGUCUGUUGGUGACAUCUCUGCUCCAUCUCCUGAGUAGUGAGCACAGCCCUUUGCCCUUGACCUGGGCUGCAUGGUCAUCUGGCUUCCAGCAAGCUGGAAGCUUCACUGGAAAUUACUUCCCUUAAGAUAAUGUCAGAGAAAAAUUGUACUAGAAUGUUCUAUUUUCUAAUUUUGUAAAUGUACAAGAUCUGCUUAAAAGGGCUGAACUCUUUCUUCUCAAUGUUUAUAAAAUUGAAGCAUUGACUUGUUUUGGUAAAAGUUGGUCUGUGUUAGAAAAGUGAAAGCUUGUAAGUAGUAAAUAGUCAGAAAAAUGAAACCAACCUCUCCUUGUUCUGUUUUCUAUUUUUUUUGGAAAAAUAAACUCUGUGAGAACCAUUAUUUUUUUUUCCUC